rnacentral:rRNA from 1 species
UACGGAGGGUGCAAGCGUUAUCCGGAUUCACUGGGGUUAAAGGGUGCGUAGGUGGGCAGGUAAGUCAGUGGUGAAAUCUCCGGGCUUAACCCGGAAACUGCCGUUGAUACUAUCUGUCUUGAAUAUAGUGGAGGUGAGCGGAAUAUGUCAUGUAGCGGUGAAAUGCUUAGAUAUGAUAUAGAACACCGAUUGCGAAGGCAGCUCACUAAGCAGGCAUUGACGCUGAGGCACGAAAGCGUGGGGAUCAAACAGG